UAGGGAAUCUUCGGCAAUGGACGAAAGUCUGACCGAGCAACGCCGCGUGAGUGAAGAAGGCUUUCGGAUCGUAAAACUCUGUUGUUAGAGAAGAACAAGGACGUUAGUAACUGAACGUCCCCUGACGGUAUCUAACCAGAAAGCCACGGCUAACUACGUGCCAGCAGCCGCGGUAAUACGUAGGUGGCAAGCGUUGUCCGGAUUUAUUGGGCGUAAAGCGAGCGCAGGCGGUUUCUUAAGUCUGAUGUGAAAGCCCCCGGCUCAACCGGGGAGGGUCAUUGGAAACUGGGAGACUUGAGUGCAGAAGAGGAGAGUGGAAUUCCAUGUGUAGCGGUGAAAUGCGUAGAUAUAUGGAGGAACACCAGUGGCGAAGGCGGCUCUCUGGUCUGUAACUGACGCUGAGGCGCGAAAGCGUGGGGAGCAAACAGG
rnacentral:rRNA from 1 species